UACGUAGGGGGCAAGCGUUGUCCGGAAUCAUUGGGCGUAAAGAGCGCGUAGGCGGCCCUGUAAGUCCGCUGUGAAAGUCAAGGGCUCAACCCUUGAAUGCCGGUGGAUACUGCAGGGCUAGAGUCCGGAAGAGGCGAGUGGAAUUCCUGGUGUAGCGGUGAAAUGCGCAGGAUAUCAGGAGGAACACCGAUGGCGAAGGCAGCAUCGCUGGGACGGUACUGACGCUGAGACACGAAGCCAGGGAG
rnacentral:rRNA from 1 species